rnacentral:tRNA from 1 species
GGCCUUAUGUUCAGAAGAUAUUAGAUUGCAAAUCUAAAGAGGUAAUUAUAAAAACUUACUAAGGCUU